GGAUUAUGGCUCAAUGGUUGAGCACUUGUCUGGCAUGUGUGAGGCACUGGGUUCAAUUCUCAGUACCA
rnacentral:tRNA from 1 species